GAUGAACGCUGGCGGCGUGCCUAAUACAUGCAAGUCGAGCGAACAGACGAGGAGCUUGCUCCUCUGACAUUAGCGGCGGACGGGUGAGUAACACGUGGAUAACCUACCUAUAAGACUGGGAUAACUUCGGGAAACCGGAGCUAAUACCGGAUAAUAUAUUGAACCGCAUGGUUCAAUAGUGAAAGACGGUUUUGCUGUCAUUUAUAGAUGGAUCCGCGCCGCAUUAGCUAGUUGGUAAGGUAACGGCUUACCAAGGCAACGAUGCGUAGCCGACCUGGGAGGGUGAUCGGCCACACUGGAACUGAGCCACGGUCCAGACUCCUACGGGAGGCAGCAGUAGGGAAUCUUCCGCAAUGGGCGAACGCUUGACGGAGCAACGCCGCGUGAGUGAUGAAGGUCUUCGGAUCGUAAAACUCUGUUAUUAGGGAAGAACAAAUGUGUAAGUAACUAUGCACGUCUUGACGGUACCUAAUCAGAAAGCCACGGCUAACUACGUG
rnacentral:rRNA from 1 species